UCUCAGUGUGACUGGGAUGACAUCGC
rnacentral:piRNA from 1 species